GCAGACAGCGCGGGCUGGGAGCGCCGGCAAGGGCGGCCCUCGCGCACCUGGCUGCCAGCCCGCAGGGGGCUCGCACGCAGACCUGCCCUUGCCACCUCAGCGCUCGGGUGCGGGCUGGGGGCGGUGGAGCCACGAAAGGUGGUGCCGAGAGCGGAGCGCAGGACAGCGCAGGAGCCCCGGCGCAUCGCGGCGCGCACAGACCCAGGAUUACUUCAUGCACAUAAAAGAAAACGCAACUACAGUGGACCCUGAACAACGUAGGAAACAGAGAAGCAAAGAAGUUAGCAAGCUUGUUUUGGCAGAAGAAAAAACACAAAAUACCCAACCACAGAUCCUCAAAAAUAUUGCUAAGCACUAAUUUUGCUAACAUGUUAGACAGCCUUCGGAUCUAGGCAAUCUUGUUCCUCAGCUGGAAAGAGUUCCUGCCAGCCAUGUGAUUCCAAAUCCACCCUGGACAUAUGGGGAUAAUGAGAAAAUCAGCUCCGGCCUUCCCUGGCCUUCCAGCCAAGUGAAUGGGGGCAUCCCCUGGUGCUUCAGCCCGGGGCCCACCCAGAGGAUGCUAGCUGGCCUGCAGAGGCCUCAACCAUGCCCUCCUGGACUCAGGUAAGACUGAGGUUUCCAUGCCCUCAAAACAAUUGUUCAGACAAAAACUCACUGCCCAGGUCAAAGUCACAGCACCAGAAAGCCAACCUGAGGAUGAAGACAAAGCUCUUUGUUGGCACAGUCCCCUGAUCAUUCGAGGUCAGCAUCUCCAUCAAAAUGGACCCAAUGCUGAGGCAAGAAGGAGAACAUCACUGUUAAGAAGAUGGAAAAUGCAUUUGAGGUGGACUGAACACAGCCAGGAGUUUUUGCUUAUCGACAGCACUGAAUCCUGCCUUGACUAGAGAGACUCGUCAUGUGAUCAACUGUGGCCAGAGGGCAUCCUGCAGACAGCUCCUGUCACACCACACUGACCAGACUCUUAUGAGUAUUUAAGCAUCUUCAGGGAAGCGAUUGACUGUCUUAUAAUGGUCUUACAAGUACGGAACUUUAUUACCUGCUAAUAAUCAGAGCACAUGAUGGCACAAUAGAAUAUACGAGUGAAGUUCUAAAUGCAAGGUUGUUCUUAUUCUGUGAGUGGCAAAACUCAUGCAGUGAGCAGAUAAAGCUGGCAGGAGGCAUUGGCGCCCUAAUGCUGGGCACUAACCACCUGCCCGGACUGCGAAUAUCUGUUGGGUCCUUUCUAUAUCUGGUCUAUUCUCGUGUUUGAUUAUAUCCUGGUGGCAAGAAUAGCAAAAUCAACUCUCCUUCCUAUCCCAUGUGGAGAGGCAUGAUUUGAGUCAGAGAGCAUUAUCCUCUCUGCGUUAUCCAACCCCAUGUCCCAUGAUGCACUUUGUAGACAAGCAAGUGUCCCUGGUGGAGAAUCCACAGCCACACAUCCUCAUUGGUUGCAAGGAUCAGUGUCCAAUAUCUACUGCCAUGAUCAUUCUCAGUUUUACAUCCACAGAGCUUCAUAGAAUUCUAACACCACAGGUCCAAGUAGAGGUUUUGGCCUCAGAGUGGGCUAGAUUCCACCUCUGACAGCAGCUGUGGGACUGUUUUUCCAUCUGUAAAAUGGAGACAAGAGUAUCACCUACCUCAUGGUGUUGGUGGGAUCGUUAAACAGAAUUCCGAUCAUGAAACCCUUAGCCUGCUCCCUGCAUAGGCUGCAUGCGCUCAGUGAGCUAUGGCUCUGUUUCAUGCUGACUUUACCAUCAUGUAAGCAGUUUUAAAAAUGCUAGAAGCUUUAGUCAUAGAAUUACCAUAUGAUACAGCCUACUGCAGAGUCCAGAGGCUGAGGCAGGAGAGUUACUUGAACCUGGGAGGCGGAGGUUGCAGUGAGCCAAGAUCGCGCCACUGCACUCCAGCCUGGGCAAC
ensembl:lncRNA FENDRR FOXF1 adjacent non-coding developmental regulatory RNA